CUGCACCCAGCAGUUGCACUAAUGACCUUUCUCUUCUCCUAACAGAGGGCUGGACAGCUGAGGCUGAUCUACCUAAUAAACAGAUACCCUCAGACUUUGCCCAAAAAAGGAGUUUGCUUAUACAUAGGUAUAUAUAGCAAAUAGCUCUGUAAACUCCACCUGGUAAUGAUAAACACCCAGGAACACAAAACACUCAUUUUUAUUCUGGUGCUUUUCUAGCAUAUGUAUGUUGUAAUCAUUUCCCUAGUUUUAUCUUUAAAUCAUGCCAAUGAUUUCCAUUUCAUCAAACUCACUCCCAGUUACUGAUUCUGAGAAGAUGGCUAUGAUCAUUCUGCUAUUUAUUUGGGGCCAGCCAAACAGAUUGAGGACCCGUAGGGCAUGAUCCUGAAGUACUUAAAUAAAAAUCUCAUUGACUGUAAUAGGAGCUAUAACUGAGUAAGGGUUGUAAGGAUCAGAUCCACUGGAAGGAUUUAAGUUUUGUCACUAGCACUUUUAACCUUUAAAUGUCUCCAAAUAGAUUUCUGUACAAGCUCUUUGCUGAUGAAGAUCGGGAAUUCUGCAAUUACCUAAAGACAGGUUGGGAUUCAGGCAUUCCGAAAGGGUUACUGAAGAGCAAUGUGGUCCCCACCCUUCAAGCACGAAACAUCUAAGACCCAAGGCUGUUCCUGAACCAGGAUUCUCUACACGAUACCACAGCACAAUUCCCAAGCUCCUUAGCAAUUCUGCUUUUGCAUGUAAAAAAAGAGUGAUCUAUUUUAGAAAAAUCCUCACUAAAAUUUCCUAUUUUUUUUUCUGAUCAUACAAAUCAAAGUUUUGCUUAGUGACUUUGCAGAUCGUGUGUAUGGCCCCUGGUCACAGCUUUGCUUAUAAAAGCAUAAGCUGUAAAAUGGAAUAUUUACAACUUAUGAUUUCCCAAGAGCAAACAAGGGCUCUUUCAGAUCUCCUUAAAAUGCCUUCUGACAUGUAACAGACUGCCUUAAAAAUGAACAUUUAUUUUUGCACUGCAGGAUGCGGCAGUUUAGAUUUUCAUAAUGUCUCUAUUAAAAUAAUAAAAGAUUAUAAGCAAGUUAAUGAUGCAUCUGAAAUAUUUAAUGAUGCAAAUCAAGCAAUGUAAUUGUAUGUAAUUGUAACUGUAUGAAAUUCUCUGCUGCAUACACCCUGUUUUGUCAGACAAUUUAUUAAUCCAGCUUAAAAAUAAGCAAUGAAUAACUGUAUAAUAUUGCAGCUGUUGAUGUAAUAGCAACACUAUUAAAGGAUACAAAAGCUUUGUAUUUUAAAUGUUAA